AAUUCAUUAAGGAGUUGACAGUCAGCAUUCUCCUUUCAAACUCUUUGUUUCUUAGAACCAGAGGAGCCAAUUGGGUCAGACCCUGCAUUGACUUCUCAUGCAGAACUGGUCUGCUAGAAAUGGAACUCCUUCUUUCCGUUUCGUCUCCACAAAGCUACCACAGUGUAAGCCCUCACUGCUUCAGGUGUGAUGGGCCACCAGGUGACCUGGGUGGAAAACCAGCCUGAGCAGUCAUACCAGAUGCUACUAUUGCAUGAUGUUUAAAUACCUAUGGUAAAUUUGCACCAUUCAGCCUGGUUUCUCUUCACUCUACCUAAAAAGGAGAAGAAUUCUAUUUGUGCAGCCAGCUUGGGAGUUUUUACAUUUUUGCCAUUGCUCUUAGAAUUAUCUUUGAGUGAGCUUGGUUGUCAUAGAAGGAGCUGAUUGUAAAUCUUUUUCUUUUAUUUUUUUAAGAGAGAGUAGAAGGGAAGGGGAGAGAGAGAAACAUUGAUGUAGAGAAACACAAUGAUUGGUUGCCUCCCACAUGGGCCGGAGAACCAACCCAGGUACUUGCCCUUGACCAGGAAUCGAACCCAUGAUCUCUGGUGCAUGGCCUGCUCUCCAACCACUGGGAACACAGCCUGGGCUGAUGUAAAAAUUUUUGGUUCUAUUCACAGCUUUCUCUAAUGCCGAUGUUCUGGCAGUUGGGGCAGUUUAGUAAUGUUUAGUUCUGGACCAUGUACAUCAAAACCAACUAGAACAGUUGCUUAAACUUUAAACUUCAAUGUGCUUAAAAGUCACUUAGGGUAAGUUUAGAGUUGACUCACGUAUAGGCCUAGUUUUAAUGUUAAGUUUAGAUUAAAGUUAAGUAUAGUUUAGGUUUAGGGUUAGCUUGGGCUAGGUUUAGGGUUAUGGCUGAGAGUAGGUAUAGGGUUAAGUUCUGUUAGGGAUAGGGUAAGAUUUAGGGUAAAGGUUUGGUAUAGGUUGAAGCUUGGUAUAGAGAUAGGGUUAGUGUUAAGGUUGGAUUUCAGUUUGAGUUUAGGUGUAAGGUUAGUUUAGGAUUAAGUUUAGAAUUGAGAUUAGGUAUAUUGGUAGAGUUAGUGUUAGAAUUAGAUUAAGGACAAAGUUAAGAAACAGGUUUAGGGCUAUGAUUUAUAUUAGGGUUAAGAGAGGGUUAGGUAUAAUAUUGUUAUGGACUAAAGUUAGGUAUGGAAGUUAGUAUAAGGUUAGGAUUGAGGUUAGGUAUAGCAUUACGUUUUGAGUCAGAAUUAUUGAGUUUGGUACAGAGUUAGGAUUAGAUAUAGUAUUAGGGUUGAAGUUGGUUUAGGGACAGGGUUAGGGUUGAGGGUAGUAUAGAGUUAUGUUUGUGGUUAAAGUUAGUGAUAGAGAGUUGAGUUAGGUCUAGAAUUAGUGUUAGGAUUAGUGUUGGUAGAUAUAGGUUUGGAUUGGGAUUUUGGUUAGGGUUAGAGUUAUGAAGAAGAUUUUAUAGUGCUGGGAUUAGGUUAGGAUUAAGUGUAAGAUUAGGUACAUUGUUAGCAUUAGUGUUAUGGUUAGGGUGAAGUUUAGGUAUGGAAUUACUGUUAGGAUUAGGUUUAGGAUCAUAGUGUUAGUGUAGAGUUUGGGUUAGGGUUGAGGUUAAACAUCAGGUUAACUUUUGUGUUAGGUUUAGGGUUAGUGUUGAGGUUAGCUAUAGUGGGUAGGGUUGGAUUUAGAGUUAGAGAUAGGGUUGAGUUUUGGUGUAGGGUUAGAGAUAAGUUUAGGCAUAAGGUUAGGAUUUCUCUUGGUGAGAGAUGUUAGAGAGUUUUUUGGUUAGGGUUUUUAGUAUUAGGGUUAUUAAGAGGGUUAAGUAUGAUUUAGUGUUAGGGUUAGGUUUAAGUUGGGCUUAGGUAUAUGGUUAAGGUUAAGAGUAAGGUUAAACUUAGUUUCGGUUAGGGGUAGGAAAA